GGCUGACAUUCCCUAUGUGAGUGAGGUGUAGGGUAUGCUACAGCCAGAGCAUCCAAAGGUAGAAAGUGAAACUGGGUUUAGAUGUGGGGUGCCAGGGAGCAAUGGCUGAGAACAGUCUGUCACCUACAUAGAAGCCAUCACACUCCUACCUGCCCACAAAGUAUUGUCAGAGUCUGUGGAGUUAGCAGCAUGAUUGAAAGGGCUGCUUGUUUCGGCUUUUAAUUUCAUAGUACUGGAAUAUCUUGCUAGAAGGGUCUGACAGGCCUUUUCCCUCUCUUCUUCCUCAUCCAGUGCAUCCGCCUUUUGAGGCAAGGUCUCUCACUGGGAGCUGACUGGGGCUCUCUGGACAGUGAACGCUAAGGAGUUAUCCCUUAUAUGCACUCCAGCACGGGGAUUACAAAGGCAUGCCACCACACUAUGCAACAGGUCCUGUGCUUAUAUGGCAAGCACAUGGCAGACUGAGCCAUCUCCCAGCCCUUGAGCCCUAAUUGUUUAUGAAAGCCUCUUUAAUCUUUUAUUUUAAGUCACCUCCCAGGAUACUUCCUAUUCUACCCAUUAGCCACCUCAUCCACAUCUCCUUUCUGGCUGUUUUCACCUGGGAUCACAACUCUCACUGUGAGAAUCCAAUUCACUUUCCUGCCCCACGAGCAGGGUCUGCAUAAAGGAAACACCAGCAAGUUCAUUGACUGACUGUACAGAACCCCACAAAACAGCCUGGUUUUUGGUCUUUGCUCACAGGUGCAUAGUGCUUCCUAACUGAAGGGCACAAGCAAACGGCAGAAACAACAUCCUUAUUUUGGGUUGUUUUUAAGGUGAGGAUGUUAUUGUUGUGAGGUAUUAUUGUUGAGAUGAUGUUUAUGUAGCAUCCAUUCUGGACUCAGGGGCCAGUGCCCAUCUCUGCUGUCAUUUGUUCUGUCACUUCAAAGGACAGGAAGAACAUGGGUGGUGAUUUUAGGAUCAUAUUCAGAACCUCAGGGAAUGAGUCAUUUGGGGUUGACGACUUUUCCGGUGACUACAGCACAAAUAAAUGAAGCAACAGGACGUUGUUGAUGUGUUUAUUGUUCGUUUUAACCAUAGUACAUAACUUCCAGAAAUGCACUCUCAUGAUCUCUUGACUGUGAGUCCAUCUGGUGUUUGUUUUUUUUUUUUUUUUUUUUUUUUUUUUUUUUUUUUUUUCUUCAAACCAUUCUGCUGAGCAUAGUUCUAAUAACAUCGCAGCUCAGCUUUGAGAACACAGCCUUGUGGGAAGAGGAACAAAAGGGAAUGGGGGAUGCAGUGCUGUCACCUAGGAGGGCUCAGAGUCCCCAGAGAAGAUCUGGACUAGAGUGCAAACCUAAAGUAGAGGCAUCUGGCUUGCCCUCGAUAUUGGAGGGAGAGGGAGAGGUUGACCCUAACCCUUACUUCAGUGUGCUGCUUCUGAUUUUUUUUUUUUUUUGAGAUGGUAUCAUAGCUCAGGCUAGCUUCACUCUCACUAUUUAGCCCAGGCUUGCCUCAAACUGGAGACAUUCCACCUGCUUUAGCCUGGGAUUACAGGCAUGGGUCGCCAUGACUAGCUUUCCAUGUGCCUUUGAGUCAUCUGGUGUCUUAGUUUUCUCAUUGUGACAAAACACCUGACAAAAGGAACUUAGGAAAGGUUUUCCUAGAGAGAAUGGUGCUUACCAAGUAGACCUGACUGAUUGGCAAGUGAGCCCUGGGAUCUACCAGUCUUCAUCUCCCUAGUGCAGGGGUUACAAGUACUGGAAGACAGAGACCUCAUCCAGUAACUGAUGGAACCAGACACAGAGAUCCACAACCAAGAACCAGUCUGAGCUCCGGGAAUCCAGGUGAAGAGAGGGAGGAGGGAAUAGCUGAGCAAGAGAGGUCAAGAUCAUGAAGGGGACAUCUACGGAGACAGCUGAACCAAGCUCCUGGAAACUCAUCAACUCUAGACCUACAACUGUGGAAACUCCAGGGGACUGAACUAGGCCCUGCGUAUGUGGGAGACAGUUGUGAAGCUUGGACUAUCAGAGGAGCCCCUGAUAGUAGGACCACAAUACAAACCUGGUACAUGAGCUAGCUGGUUGGAGCCCCAUUCCUUAGAGUGGGUUGCCAUCCUCAGUGGAGGUAGGAGCACGAUAUAAUCCCAGUAUAUGAGCUAUCUUGUUGGAGCCCAUUCCCUCUGGUGGGAUGCCAUGCUCAGUCUUAAUGUAUGGGAGAGGGGCCAGGCCCUGUCCUAACUUAUUGUGUCAGACUAUGUUGACUCCUUAUGGGAGCCCUUACCCAUGAGGAGGAGUGGACUUGGGGUGGGCUAGAGGGGAGCUAAGGGGAAGGGGUGAGAGGGAGAACUGUAGUUGGAAUGUAAAAUAAAAUCAAAAAGUAAAAAAAUG
ensembl:lncRNA